GUCAUUGUUCUGAGCUGUAGUUGUUAGCAUGUUCGCAUCACGCCUCCAGGGUCGGGGGUUCGAUUCCCACCGUGACCCUGUGUGUGUGGAGUUCGCAUGUUCUCCCCGUGCUGCGGGGGUUUCCUCCGGGUACUCCGGUUUCCUCCCCCAGUCCACAGACAUGCAUGGUAGGCUGAUUGGCGUGUCUAAAGUGUCCGUAGUGUAUGAACGGGUGUGUGAGUGUGUGUGUGAGUGUGCCCUGCGAUAUAUUGGCGCCCUGUCCAGGGUGUACCCCGCCUUGUUCCCCAUGCUCCCUGGGAUAGGCUCCAGGUUCCCCCGUGACCCUGAAGCAGGGUCAGGAGCAGUAAUCCACCGUGCAAGUCCCCGUGAAUGAGACGUCGCUAUAGAAACAAUAACGUACUUAAGCCACGACAUUAAUAUAAAAGUCCAGACGUGUAUUGACGCUCCAGCAUCGAUCUGUUAAACAGCGCGAACUAAAACGAAUUCGCUUGAAGGCCACGCAACUCGGGAGAAAGUAAUGAACUUGGCAGAAUCGACUCUAGUUUGAGUCGUGGUGGGGUUUUUUUUUUCCCCCGUCCGUUAUUUCCCUCCUUCAGGAAGACACUUUGAUGGACGUUAUCUCUUCCGCCUUAAUCAAUUAAAAAGUAAUUACAAUUGCAAAUGGUUGCACUUCUCGGUAAUCGCUUUGAACUCGGUCGGUGAAAAGAUACAAUAUAUUUGAGGCGAUAAUAAUAAAUAAAUAGCUUUAAUAUGGCGCCUCGGAGGGCGAGCGAGGCGAGAGCGAGAGGAGGAAGUGUUAUUGAUCGGCUCUGCUGCUUUGUAUUCUGUUCACUAAUAAUUACCAGUACAGCCUAUCCAAUUACACACACACACACACACACACACACACACACACAGGUUCAUUAUGCAAAUAAGAAGGACUCAUUUAAGGCAGGCUUACAGGACUUCAUUUACACUCCUGUAGACAUGACGAUGCAGUCGAUUAAAUCUAGAUGUCUUCGUUUCUUAAUUGAACCAAAUUAAGAUUAUGAAGUUUAUAGAAAAUGAAGGGUUUUGGGUUGGUUUUUUUUUUUUAAAUCGUGUACUCUUUCUUUGCUACGUCCACGAUCACUGCGAGGAAGUUUGAAGGUUAAUGGCGGUCGGUUGAUUCUCCGACCGCUGCACCGGAGUGAGGGGGAUCGUGCGGCGUGAAGUCUCAUUAACCACGAAGGCUCGGAGAAAUGGAAAUCAAAAAGCACUAAAAGGACAGGAGACGAGGUGAGGUUCAGCUAACUCGAGAAGAACGCCUCAAACUGUUCGGUGCUGUUGAAUCCGGGAUUCUGGUCAGGUGGCGUUGAUUCAUUUUCUAGAACAGCAGCUCUGAUAGUACUUCGAGGACAUUGCUGUUUCUAUGGUAACAGCUCGUUCACGGGGACUUGUACGGCGGACGCGCCACGUAAACAUAAAACGGUGUCACCGUUUACACGUCUUUGUGCUGUCCGUGUCUUUGCGGUGUCCGUGUUUACACGGCUUUGCGGUGUCUGCGUCUUUGCGGUGUCCGCGUCUUUGCGGUGUCCGCGUUUACGCGUCUUUGCGGUGUCCGCGUCUUUGCGGUGUCCGCGUUUACGCGUCUUUGCGGUGUCCGCGUCUUUGAGGUGUCCGCGUUUACGUGUCUUUGAGGCGUCUGCGUUUCAGCGUCUUUGAGGUGUCUGCAUCUCUGAGGCGUCCGCGUUUACGCGUCUUUGAGGCGUCUGCGUUUACGCGUCUUUGAGGUGUCUGCAUCUCUGAGGCGUCCGCGUUUACGCGUCUUUGAGGCGUCUGCGUUUACGCGUCUUUGAGGCGUCUGCGUUUCAGCAUCUUUGUGGUGUCUGCGUUUACGUGUCUUUGAGGCGUCUGCGUUUCAGCGUCUUUGAAGCGUCUGCAUCUCUGAGGCGUCCGCGUUUACGCAUCUUUGCGGUUUCCGCGUCUCCGAGGCGUCCGCGUUUACGCGUCUUCUCCCGGUUUCCGUUUCUCUGAGGGAACGAUUUCGUUUAUAGCUGCUAUAACGUAGGUGAGAACGCGAACUUGUUUCAGAGACGUUCCACGGCAUUUAAAAAAAAAUGUUUAAAAAAAUCUACUUUGUUUAUCCAUUGUUUUGCAUCGAACAAUUCUGCACUGAAAACAAGCGCUGGAUUUCUUUUUCUUCUCAUUAUUAUGAAUAAUAAGCUUUUUGCUCUGUUGCAUAAAUUGUAAUGAGUUUCUGACGGUUUAUUUAAUGGUUUGAAAAUAAAGCAUGUAUGAGUAAUGUUUCAUUUUAAAAAUAAAUAAAUAAAUAAAUAAAAAGCGAUCAGGAAAAACAAACUCUGUCCUUUUUAAUAGGAUAUUAUAUCCCCAAACCAAGCUGUAUAUAUAAAGCUAAUUAAUUAACGUUUCAUUUAGAAACUCAGAGGUAAUGAAAAACUAUUUUUUUUUUGUUAUAAAUUAAACAAUUAAGCAGAAAAUAUCACACAACCCAGCUACGCGUAGACGGACAGAGUGCGUGCGGUGGAAAAGUUCCUGUGUGAAACUUUUCCGCGCGUUUUUUCGUCUUUUACGGUCAUUUCUGGCGGAAAACGUUAUCGAUGUUGACGCGGGAUGGAAACGGAUCAUCCAAGCCGAGGUAUGUUCGGAGCUGGGAAUAUUUCUCUCCACGUUUCAUCUUCAAACUGAGAAACACGGGAGCUCGUUUCAAAACUGUCCAUUAAACCGGUGUAAUUGUGCUGCUGAACCCAGCCGGGCGCCGGUUAACGCUUCCAUCUCUGGAAAGUCAUUCCCAGUCGUUAGUGAUAAAUAACAGCGCUUACAAAAUCCUGCGCGAUUAAUAGACUUUUCGUUAAGGGGAAAUUGAUCCGACGUGUCAUUAACAGACGCCGACGCGAUUAAGACGAUUAAGGAAAUAGAUGCGUUUGCUUACAUUUUUUUUUGUUUGUUUGUUGUGUGUUUUUUUUUGUUAAUAAAAAAAAAAAAAACACGGCAGGCUUUAACCGACAGGCUUUUAGUCUGACUCCGUGACUGACAGACGUUCCAGCAGAGAUUACUGCCAGCAAGGAAAAAGAAAGAAAGAAAGAACAAAGGAAAGAAGGAAAGAAGAAGCAGUGGUCCAUCACUGCUCCAUCUCAGCGGUAAAGUACAGACUUUACACACGUGUCGGAGAGUGAAUGUCAGAUACGUGUCAGCGGAUGAAAAGGCUUUUCACACAGACGACGCUGGAAGCCGUGUCUCUCCUCUGGACCGCACCAAAAGAGAAUCUCAGAGUGCUGGAAAUGUGAGAGACGUGAGACGGCUCCGUGUACGGCGCCGGUUCUGUGACGCCGGAGGGGGAGGGGGAGGGGGUGUUGAUGGGGAACGAGUAUAAAUAUAAAACCCUGUGAAACGCAGAGUGUGAACGAGCGAGCGUGUGAUCUGCCUGUGAAUUUUAUAAAUAAACGAACGUCACAGCAUGGAGAACGGGGGAAACUCUGAGCUACGAGCGAGACGUAGCUCGGAUCCGAGACGAUCUGCUCUGUAGUCUAGAGCCGUAGCCAUGCGGUUCUCCGUCGCUUCGGCUAUCCGGCUGUCAGCAAAACUUCCCAGCAUCAUUAAAUAUAUAAAAGCGAGCUACCUCGGAGGACAGAGGCAGCGUUUUAGGGCAGAUACGAUCUGGCCUAUUUGCAAAGGCAGAAUAAGGACAGCUGUCUAAUGCAGGGCCUACUCGAGAUCUAGAAAAUUCUACAGUCAUGCAGUAAAAUUGUUUAAAAGAGUUUAUCUGGAAAAGGAAAUUCGGGAUACUUUUUUGGGGGUUUUUUUUUUUGGGGGGGGGGGUGUUCUGGAGGGGACGUCGGACGGCGUGGCGCGGGGACGUAAUGACGUGUACCGCUAAUCCCUCUAUGUUCUAUAACGUCUAAAACAGGGACAUGAUCAGAGUAUUCUAAAAGCGACUCAUGUACACACCUUAAUCAGAAUAUCAUACGUCUCAUUCAGAAUGAGGUCCAUAAUUAGAUUACCGCUGUCCGUGUACAUACAGUCAGUGAGUACGUUUACACGGACAGCGGUAAUCUAAUCAUCGACCUUAAUCUGAGUAAGAUGAUAAUCUGAUUAAGGUGUUUACACCUUACUCCUGUCAUGUUCCCGUUUGACAUGUUUUAGAACAUAAUUAGAUUAACAGCCCGCGUCAUUACGUCACCGCGCCACGCCGUCCGACGUCCCUCCAGAAUCUCACGUAUCGACAUACAGU
ensembl:lncRNA